rnacentral:tRNA from 1 species
GGGGAUGUAGCUCAGUGGCACAGUGCCUGCCUGGCAAGUUGGAGGCCCUGAGUUCAAUUCCCAGUACCA